rnacentral:lncRNA from 1 species
UUCUAGACUGCAUGGUGUUUCCCUAAGCAUGUUUCCCCCAGUAUAAUUCUAAAGUAUUACAACGGAGUUAUAAAAAACUAAUAAACUCUCAUAAAAUCUUUCCUAUUUGUAUUACCUGGCCCACACAGAGAUUUCUAAACAGAGCUGGCCCCAUCAGUUGGCAGAAUAUAUGAAAUGAGAGUUGCUUCACACAACCACCAACAGAUCUCUUCCACCUCCCAUCAAACUACCUUAAUUU